rnacentral:lncRNA from 1 species
AAGAACUAGAAGAACUGGUUUGUCUCCACUGGUGAGGUGGAGCAGAAGGGUGUGAGAGUGAGAAGAGCUGGUGGUGCUUGACUCUUCUUCUCAGGCAGUUGGAUGCCUCUGAGUUACUUGCCUAUGAAAUUCUGUGGGAGAGAUCUGACCAAGACGGCACAAAAGGAAGAGGUGUUGGGGAUGUGAAGGUAUACUACAUCAUGAACACAACUGUGAAGUCUAAAACCUGAAAUAGGCUGAAAGAUAUAUGCAACUCAUCAUAUGUAAGUUUUAUAUUUAUGUGUAAUUUGAGACUCAUGGUAAACUAAUAUUGCUAUAGCAUGAUCAUUUUAAAUUUUGUUUUACCUUAAAUAAAAUAUUUCCCCCAAUUAUAUCAUCUUUGCAAUUGAUAAAGAUGUAUUUUUUAAUAAUCCAUUGGGGGUCAAAGCUAUGAUAGAAAGUUGAACAUAAUUUCUAUUUGUAGUUGCAAAAGUGCACACCAAAAGGCAUUCAAAAAUAAUUUGCAAUUGCUUUUUCAGCCGACAGUCUUUAAGGCAAGUUGUUUUC